CUGACAUUUGCUGGUCUUCAAGAAUUUCUUACAGAGAGGCUGGGGGAAAAAACUACAAUGUUGAGACAUUCCUUUUUUCCUUAGCAUCUGGGAACCUCAACUGGAAACCCUUCAAUCCUUCCCCUUUUCCUGAGUAUACUCCUGAGAGACGAGCAAGAAGUUUAUUAUCUACCAUGACGAGAGGCCCAGAGCCAGACGGUUCCAGAAGUGGGCGGGCCGGCUGCUCGGCUACGUCUUCAGGAGAAAGGUUCUUCCUAUGUUGCCUCCCGCCACUCCUGGGAGUCAUGUCUACUUAGGCUCGAUCCUCUUAUGGGGACUAGAUGGCUGCUGCAGGUCAUUUAAAAAAAAUACACGAGGACUUUUUCUUACAAAAGUGUGGGGAGUCCUUGAAGGGAGGGGGAACGAGGAGUUGUUUAAUGGGUAUCGAGUUUCAGUUUUGCAAGAUGGACAGGGUUCUGGAAAUUGGUUGCACAGUCAUGUGAAUGUGCUUAACACUAUUGAGCUGUACACUUAAAAAUUGUUAAUGUGGUAAGUUUUAUGAUAUGUGGAUUUUAUCACAAUUUAAAAAUGUGAAAAAUACAUUGGG
rnacentral:lncRNA from 1 species